UACGUAGGUGGCAAGCGUUGUCCGGAUUUACUGGGCUUAAAGAGCGCGCAGGCGGUCGAUUUAGUCGCGUGUGAAAGCCCCCGGCUCAACUGGGGAGGGUCACGCGAUACUGAUCGACUCGAAGGCAGGAGAGGGUAGUGGAAUUCCCGGUGUAGUGGUGAAAUGCGUAGAUAUCGGGAGGAACACCAGUGGCGAAGGCGACUACCUGGCCUGUUCUUGACGCUGAGGCGCGAAAGCUAGGGGAGCAAACGGG
rnacentral:rRNA from 1 species